AAAAUGCAUUUUAACAACUAUCAAUCUUAUCUUUUAGGAGUUUCCUGCAUUGCUUUGGUUUUAGUCUCAGGAUUGGUUACUGGUCUGAAGACUCAAACAGUUGAGGUUAAUAAAGCAUCCUGCUUUCUAGGGGUCCCAGGUAAACUAUGUUGUUUUGAGGAUUGCUCUCCAAACUGCAGUCAAGACUGUAUUAAAAAUGGAUUUACAAAAGGUGGAAUAUGUAUUGAUAUAGCUCUUGGAGAAAAAUGUUGUUGUAAUAAGUAAUUAGACAAAUACUUAUGUGGUUUUUUGUUGUGUUCUUCAAAUAAGGAAUGAAUAACAUCUUUGAGUAAUUAAAGAA